rnacentral:rRNA from 1 species
AACGAACGCUGGCGGCAUGCCUUACACAUGCAAGUCGAACGAAGGCUUCGGCCUUAGUGGCGCACGGGUGAGUAACGCGUGGGAAACUGCCUAUUGGUGGGGAAUAACGACGGGAAACUGUCGCUAAUACCGCAUAAGCCCUUCGGGGGAAAGAUUUAUCGCCGAUAGAUGUGCCCGCGUCCGAUUAGCUAGUUGGUGAGGUAAUGGCUCACCAAGGCGACGAUCGGUAGCUGGUCUGAGAGGAUGAUCAGCCACACUGGGACUGAGACACGGCCCAGACUCCUACGGGAGGCAGCAGUGGGGAAUAUUGGACAAUGGGCGAAAGCCUGAUCCAGCAAUGCCGCGUGAGUGACGAAGGCCUUAGGGUUGUAAAGCUCUUUCGGGUGGGACGAUGAUGACGGUACCACCAGAAGAAGCCCCGGCUAACUUCGUGCCAGCCGCCGCAGUAA